rnacentral:rRNA from 1 species
CCUACGGGUCGCACCAGUGGGGAAUAUUGCACAAUGGGCGCAAGCCUGAUGCAGCCAUGCCGCGUGUAUGAAGAAGGCCUUCGGGUUGUAAAGUACUUUCAGCGGGGAGGAAGGUGUUGUGGUUAAUAACCACAGCAAUCGACGGUACCCGCAGAAGAAGCACCGGCUAACUCCGUGCUAGCAGCCGCGGUAAUACGGAGGGUGCAAGCGUUAAUCGGAAUUACUGGGCGUAAAGCGCACGCAGGCGGUCUGUCAAGUCGGAUGUGAAAUCCCCGGGCUCAACCUGGGAACUGCAUUCGAAGCUGGCAGGCUAGAGUCUUGUAGAGGGGGGUAGAAUUCCAGGUGUAGCGGUGAAAUGCGUAGAGAUCUGGAGGAAUACCGGUGGCGAAGGCGGCCCCCUGGACAAAGACUGACGCUCAGGUGCGAAAGCGUGGGGAGCAAACUGGAUUAGAUACCCCAGUAGUC